GGUUUUCCCUUCACUUGAGAUUUUCGGGGUGCUUUAUAAAAGACAAACAAUUUUGGGAUGUUCCGCAAGUAGUUUUCACGUAUAAUUCGCCAUCAACAAAAUUUUAUGGUGAACUCAUUUCAUUUACACUGAAAGUUCAGUAAUUACCGCACAUUGUGGGACGUUCUGCAAUUACUUUUCGCCGGAAUACCGCAAACUACAUAAAGUUGUUGUUUCUCCCAUAAGCAUGGCUCAUAAAUUCGUGUUCAGCACUCGUCGUCGGUGAUUGUAUAACUGCCCCGGAACUCACUCAGCGGCGUGGCAUUUGUCGUUGAUG